rnacentral:rRNA from 1 species
GACGAACGCUGGCGGCGUGCUUAACACAUGCAAGUCGAACGGAAAGGCCCUGCUUUUGUGGGGUGCUCGAGUGGCGAACGGGUGAGUAACACGUGAGUAACCUGCCCUUGACUUUGGGAUAACUUCAGGAAACUGGGGCUAAUAUCGGAUAGGAGCUCCUGCUGCAUGGUGUGGGUUGGAAAGUUUCGGCGGUUGGGGAUGGACUCGCGGCUUAUCAGCUUGUUGGUGGGGUAGUGGAUUACCAAGGCUUUGACGGGUAGCCGGCCUGAGAGGGUUGACGGCGACAUUGGGACUGAGGUACGGCCCAGAAUCCAACGGGAGGCAGCAGUGGGGAAUAUUGCACAAUGGGCGGAAGCCUGAUGCAGCAGCGCCGCGUGCGGGAUGACGGCCUUCGAGUUGUAAACCGCUUUCGCCUGUGACGAAGCGUGAGUGACGGUAAUGGGUAAAGAAGCACCGGCUAACUACGUG